rnacentral:tRNA from 1 species
GCCCCCAUCGUCUAGUCUGGUCUAGGACACAGGCCUUUCAAGCCUGGUACAUGGGUUCAAAUCCCGUUGGGGGCACCA